UCCAGGCCUGGAAUAAUCUAUGUCAUUCAUGAGGAUGGUUGGCGGUGGUUUACCAUCACCCUAUUGGAGGCCAAGAGAACAUAGCACAAUGCCUCACGGAUGUUCGAGAACUACUGCUGAUUGAUUACACAUACUGUGAUAAGUCUUGGCAGGAGCUCCGGUCCUGAAGUGAGAAAGGGUGUUUACAUUCUGGAAGAGCAGUGCCGACAAAUGUCUUGCAUCAGGGCUGUUCUCCACCAAUCUCUGCUUCCCAGCAGUUUUCUUCUCUGUGGGAUGGCUUGUGACAGCCACAGAGAUAGUCUGGGACCUGGAAGAAACGAGCCUGAACGUGAAAGCAGGCAUUCAAGGGACAGGGACAACAAAAGCUGUUUCCCUAUAAGGAAAAGAAAAGGUCCCCAGUGCCUGUGACUUCUCUCCCAGUUGUUCAGGCUGUCACAACAUUACAAAUAGUGUUCCCCAAUUUGCCAUAUGGCUUGAGAUUUCAUAAUGAGGGCUUUGGGUCUUUGGCCUUCAUAUACAUCACCAACAUGAGAAGCUGCCAAUGCUUGGUAAAGUGGUUUGAAAUUUAUCUUUGAAAACCAUUGUCUAGUCUUAGGCUCGAGUCUCCAGUUUGGGGAUACACGGAUAAAUGUUUAGGGGGGGCUGCUUAGAGAAUCUGAGGCAAGACCCCUAUUGGAUAGGCAGCAGUUUCCGACUUCUUGUUAUUUUUAAUAGCAGUGGAUUCCUUUCUUUAUACGAAAACUUACCAAAAACUCGCUAGUGAAGCAGGAAGAGCACAACUUUGUGGGAGCGGAGCUGGGAAUCUGAAGUGUGAGCGCUGGAUUUGAGUCUCCUAAGCAUGGGUAGCUGAUGACCACAGGAAGGAUCCGUGAGAAAGGCCAGAGAGUGGAAACUGAAACUGACUGACAACAGACUGGAAAGAGAGAGUCUGGAGCCGGGAUUAAGGGACUGUGGUUUCUGCAAGUCCAC
rnacentral:lncRNA from 1 species